rnacentral:rRNA from 1 species
UUGCGGUACUUCGACCGUGCAAAGGUAGCAUAAUCAUUUGCCUUAUAAUUGAAGGCUGGUAUGAAUGGUUUAACAAGAAUAUAGCUGUCUCUUUAUAAUUUGCUAGAAUUUUAUCUAUAAGUGAAGAAGCUUAUAUAAAAUUGAAGGACAAGAAGACCCUAUCGAGCUUUAAAAAAACUAAUAGACUAAAAGGUUAUUAAUAAAAAAUAAUCUAUUAGAUAUUUUAGUUGGGGCGACUAAGGAACAGAAAAAGCUUCCUCUAACAUAUCAGAAAACUAUGCAGGUAUUGAUCCAGAAAUUUUGAUUAAAGGAAAUAGUUACCGUAGGGAUAACAGCAUAAUCUUUUUUAAGAGCCCAUAUCGAAAAAAAGGUUUGUGACCUCGAUGUUGGACCAGAAUAUCCUAAAGAUGUAGCAGUCUUUAAGGGUUGGUCUGUUCGACCAUUAAAUAUCUACGUGAA